UCACCGUUUGCACGGGCAGUUUCUCUAGAGUCCCCGACAUUACUCGCUGGCAACUAAAGAUAGGGGUUGCGCUCGUUGCGGGACUUAACCCAACACCUCACGACACGAGCUGACGACAGCCAUGCACCACCUGUAUACCGACCACAAGGGGGCGACCAUCUCUGGCCGUUUCCGGUAUAUGUCAAGCCUUGGUAAGGUUCUUCGCGUUGCGUCGAAUUAAGCCACAUGCUCCGCUGCUUGUGCGGGCCCCCGUCAAUUCCUUUGGGUUUUAGCCUUGCGGCCGUACUCCCCAGGCGGGGAACUUAAUGCGUUAGCUACGGCACGGAACCCGUUGAUGAGGUCCCACACCUAGUGCCCAACGUUUACGGCAUGGACUAC
rnacentral:misc_RNA from 1 species